CAUGCGCAAUAUUCCUCCUACAGGUACCAUGCUGUUGCCACGGAGGUAAUGACUUAUCCCAUGUCAUUAUUGAUCAAUCAACAGUAAGAGCAAUUUUGCAGUCUGAUAUUGUUCAGCAAAUAAGAGUAACAUCUGCUGAGCACUGAAAAACUGCUAUACAU
rnacentral:snoRNA from 1 species